rnacentral:rRNA from 1 species
UAGAGAUCCCUNCUUCCCUUCGNGGAACAGAGUGACAGGUCCCGCAUGGUUGUCGUCAGCUCGUGUCGUGAGAUGUUGGGUUAAGUCCCGUAACGNGCGCAACCCUUGAUCUUAGUUGCCAGCAUUUAGUUGGGCACUCUAAGGUGACUGCCGGUGACAAACCGGAGGAAGGUGGGGAUGACGUCAAAUCAUCAUGCCCCUUAUGACCUGGGCUACACACGUGCUACAAUGGAUGGAACAAAGGGCAGCGAAGCGGCAACGUGUUAGCAAAUCCCAUAAAACCAUUCUCAGUUCGGAUUGUNUGCUGCAACUCGCCUACAUGAAGCAGGAAUCGCUAGUAAUCGCGGAUCAGCAUGCCGCGGUGAAUACGUUCCCGGGUCUUGUACACACCGCCCGUCACACCACGAGAGUUGGCAACACCCGAAGUCGGUGAGGUAACACUUUUGUGAGCCANCCCGCCNAAAGUGGGGCCAAUGAUUGGGG